CCUACGGGUGGCAGCAGUGGGGGAUAUUGCACAAUGGGGGAAACCCUGAUGCAGCGACGCCGCGUGGGUGAAGAAGUAUUUCGGUAUGUAAAGCCCUAUCAGCAGGGAAGAAAGAAGACGGUACCUGACGAAGAAGCCCCGGCUAACUACGUGCCAGCAGCCGCGGUAAGACGGAGGGGGCGAGCGUUAUCCGGAUCCACUGGGUGUAAAGGGAGCGUAGACGGCCGUGCCAGCCAGGAGUGAAAGCCCGGGGCCCAACCCCGGGACUGCUCUUGGAACUGUGCGGCUGGAGUGCGGGAGGGGCAGGCGGUCUUCCCGGUGUAGCGGUGAACUGCGUAUAUCUCAGGAGGAACCCCGGCGGCGAAGGCGGCCUGCUGGACCGCGACUGACGUUGAGGCUCGAAAGCGUGGGGAGCGAACAGGAUUCGCUACCCUUGUAGUC
rnacentral:rRNA from 1 species